rnacentral:miRNA from 1 species
UUCCGCGCUCUACGCCAGC